UACGUAGGGUGCGAGCGUUGUCCGGAAUUAUUGGGCGUAAAGAGCUCGUAGGCGGUGUGUCGCGUCUGCUGUGAAAAUCCAGGGCUCAACCCUGGACCUGCAGUGGGUACGGGCAGACUAGAGUGCGGUAGGGGAGACUGGAAUUCCUGGUGUAGCGGUGAAAUGCGCAGAUAUCAGGAGGAACACCGGUGGCGAAGGCGGGUCUCUGGGCCGAUACUGACGCUGGAGGAGCGAAAGCGUGGGGAGCGAACAGG
rnacentral:rRNA from 1 species